rnacentral:sRNA from 1 species
CGGCGGCCCGGGCGGUCCUACCGCGGCUGCAGAGUCAGGCAGCGGCUUGCUACGAGCCUCUGGUGUGUCCCGCAGCUGCUGACAGAAUGCUGUCUAAAAUGGAUAAACUGGGAUGCAGGGAACUCAGCUGCUGAGCUUUGCAAGAACAAGGAAUGGGGGGACUCCAAGCAGUCAGCCUGUCAUUUCUGGUUUUGGAAGCUGCCUGGCUGCGCUCCCUAUACAUUCGGGUAAUAUGUAUUCCUUCUCAGUUCUCUGGGGUUGAAGACUAGAUAGUUACAGUCUUCACAAUUAAGCCUAAAUUGUUUAGGAUUUUAAGUUGGUAAUGCAAGUUGUAAUAGAAAUUGAUUUAGGUACAGAACUCUGAACUCACCAACAUAGGAUAGAUAAUAGAAUACUUUGUCCAAGGUUGCCAAAACAUAUGGACUGAACAUUAUGAAUGUAAAUCUUACCCAGUAGUUUUCAUAAUUGUUAUUGUAUAUAGUUUAUUCUGUAAGAAAAGGAGGCUUUUAUUGGACUAAAAGGGGAAACGUAGAGAGAAUCACUGUGUAAAAGCAUUUGCCUGUCAAUAAAAGGCUGAUCGGUUAAUGAGCUGAGGCGGAAAAUUAGGUGGGACAUCAGACAGCAGGAGGUGGUGGAUGCUGGGAUAGAGACAGUAGAAGAUUGACCCCUGAACACUGAUGUUAUACAGCAGCAAAAACUGAGGACCAGGUAAUUGGCCCCGGGGCAGAACUUGAAAUAGUGGGAUGAUUAACUUAUGAGCUAGUUAGGGAGUAGCCAAAGUUUAUGGCCUAGGUAUCUGUAAAUAUAUUUGACUCUCAGAGUUAUCCUGGGAGCAGGGGCCAUGAGGAAAAACACGAGAAAGGGAUGCGGAGUAGUACUGAUGCACAAGACGACCUCAAGGACAUAGAAACCCCUGAGAGUGGUAGCCAAAGGAGUUGGUGGUUUCUCUUUGCAUGUUUACCCUGUGUCUAUAGCCCACAGCACCCCUGGACAGCUCAGAGCCUGCAGCACCACCCUCAUGUCUGUGGUAGACCUGAGUGACCCCAGUGGGGAACAAGAUACGUGUCACACCGUGGACCCAUGAGGGUCACAGUGGAAAUGUGUGCUACGCCAGUAUACCACCUUGCCUGAGUCCUGGGGUGCUGGUAACUUCUAACAGGAAUGGGAAGUGAGGGGGUCUUGGGGGUGCAUGUUAGGAAAGGAUAUGUGUUAGAAGGGGAGAGGAACCCUCAAUUAUCUUAAGAGGGCUGGAGUGGGUAGGACCCC